GACAGAGGGUGCAAACGUUGUUCGGAAUUACUGGGCGUAAAGCGAGUGUAGGAGGUGUGGUAAGUCGGAUGUGAAAGCCCCGGGCUCAACCCGGGAAGUGCACUCGAUACUGCCACGCUAGAGUAUCGGAGAGGUUGGUGGAAUUCUCGGUGUAGAGGUGAAAUUCGUAGAUAUCGAGAGGAACACCGGUGGCGAAGGCGGCCAACUGGACGAAUACUGACGCUGAGACUCGAAAGCGUGGGGAGCAAACAGG
rnacentral:rRNA from 1 species